UCUUCAUCUACAUCCUCCUAUAAUGAAUACAUAUGGUGAAGCACUCAGCGCUGCUCCAGGUGAAGCCAGAGAACAGCGGAAGACUUAACUUGGUGUGACCAGCGCAAGCUGCAGAAGUUUCAGCCACCAUGAACAGAUCCACAGCCCCCACCAAAGAUUACCUGGGCAUCUCUAUUUUCAACACGCUCUGCUGCUGCCUGCCAUUCGGAAUCAUUGCAAUAAUCUACUCCUUAAGGGCACGAGAUGCAGCUGCCUCUGGAGACGCUACAAAGGCUGAACAAGCGGCGCACACAGCCAAAGUCCUGAAUGUUUCUGGGAUCGUCAUUGGAAUAGUAUUCCUUAUAAUCGUUAUCGUACUGCAAAUCACAGUUCUCUCCACUACUGCUCGGUAGAACGCGGCUUGGUGGGAGUAUCAACUGGCUCUGUGAUCUUACCCUGUAUGCAGAAGCAAAUAGGAAUUUAAUUCUUGUUGAUUGAUAAUGAAACCUGUAUCCUCAAUUAUGACCUUUCCUUCUGCUCGUAUCAUGCAAUAAAGAUCAAGUUUAAUACUGUA